UGACGGGUGGUGACGCGCCGGGCACAGCCGGGGUCGGGGCUGGCCGGGAGGGCGCGCUGGGCGCUGGCCCGAGAGGGAUCGGGCCGUGGCAGGGAUGUGCUGGAUGGGAGCAGCACAGCCAGGUGAGCACAGGCACAGAAACCCCAGUCUCUCCUGCCCAGCAGAAGGUUGGCUUCCCAGCUCCAACGCUCCUCCUGGACCCACCUCAGAUGGUUUGUAGUUAAUUUGAUGACUGGCAUGAACUUCAGCUCUGAAAAGUGGAUGUUCCACCACCUUAACACAGUUGUUGCUGAGUAAGGACUGGAUGCGCCUCCUGCUCCUGAGUCAGGGCUGCUGACAUGAGCAAGUGGGAGGAAGAUCAGGCUCUGGCGAGGACAGACUUCAGGAGCUGGUCCAUUCUUCUUUCACACAGAUGGGAGUGUCACAGCAUGCUUUCCUGCCUAAUCAGUCUCAACACAGCCUUGCACAACUCAGCCUCCUUUAAGCUUUUAACCAGGGUGUAGGAGUUCAGAAAAAAAAUCACCUCCCUUCCCCCAAGAAAAAUGUAAUGGAAAAGAUUUGUUUUGAUGUAGCACAAACAGUAAACUUGAAUCACUGAAA